ACACUAACGCAGCAAAAGGGCACCCGGGGGAUGCCUUGGCUUCUACAGGCGAAGAAGGACGUGGCAAGCGACGAAACGCUGCGGGGACCAGCUGGCAUGGGUUGAUCCGCAGGUGUCCGAAUGGGGAAACCCGGCGGUCUGAAGGACCGUCAUCACGCUUUAUUGCGUGAGGCUCACCCGCUGAACUGAAACAUCUAAGUAGGCGGAGGAAAAGAAAACAAUCAGUGAUGGCGUCAGUAGUGGCGAGCGAACGCGUCGAAGCCCAAACCGGUCUGGUUACGGCCAGGUCGGGGUUGUAGGACUCGACAUCAAACAAAUGGACAAACAUGAAUGGUCUGGGAAGGCCAACCGCAGGGGGUGAGAGUCCCGUAAUGGUAGGUUUCGUUUGUGGGUUGAGUAUCCUGAGUAGGGGGGAGCCGGAGGGACUCCCUCUGAAGCUGGCAGCACCAUCUGCCAAGGCUAAACACUGUAGAAGACCGAUAGGGAAGAGUACCGUGAGGGAAAGGUGAAAAGGACUGGGCGUACCAGGGUGAAAUAGAACCUGAAACCGGGUGCUUACAAGCGGUUGGAGCUUCGUUGGUGGAGUGACAGCGUGCCUUUUGCAUAAUGAGCCUACGAGUAACGGUCACUAGCGAGGUUAAGCGUGUUGACAUGCGGAGCCGAAGCGAAAGCGAGUCUGAAUAGGGCGAUUUAGUUAGUGGCUGUUGACGCGAAACUUGGUGAUCUACCCAUGGCCAGGUUGAAGGGGUGGUAACACACCGUGGAGGACCGCACCGAUAAACGUUGAAAAGUUUCCGGAUGAGUUGUGGGUAGGGGUGAAAGGCCAAUCAAACUGAGAAAUAGCUCGUACUCUCCGAAAUGUUUUUAGGAACAGCGUCUAAUGUUACCCCAUGUGAGGUAGAGCGACCGAUUGGAUGCGGGGGUGUCAUAGCCUACCAACUUCAGUCGAACUCCGAAUGCGCAUGGGGGUGUUGGGCAGUGAGGGGCAGGGUGCUAAGGUCCUGCUCCGAGAGGGGAACAACCCAGACCAUCCGCUAAGGUCCCCAAGUGUGUGCUAAGUUGAACAAAGGUGGUCCGGCUGCCGAGACAGCCAGGAGGUUAGCUUGGAAGCAGCUAUUCCUUUAAAGAGUGCGUAACAGCUCACUGGUCGAGCGGGGCGGGCAUCGAUAAUAAACGGGCAUCAAGCACAUCACCGAAGCGGUGGAUCAUACAGUUUUACUGUAUUGAUGGUAGGAGAGCAUACUGCGGGGGGUGAAGUUGAAGCGUGAGCUUUGGUGGACCGCGUGGUAGAGCAAAUGUAGGCAUAAGUAACGAGAAUGAGGGUGGGAACCCCUCACGCCGUAAGACUAAGGGUUCCCGGGCGACGCCAGUCAACCCGGGGUUAGUCGGGACCUAAUGGCUGAGCGAAAGCGGAGGUCAGAUGGACAGCAGGUUAAUACUCCUGCACUACCCUGUAGUGCAAUACACUGACAAAUUGACGGAGAGAGCGCGUCCUGCGGGAAUAGGGCGCUGAGCGGCGGCUUCGGCCAAAGCGAGGGCUCAAAGUUGGUUUCAAGAAAAGGUGUAGAAGCUCUAGCUAUAGGGUACCCGUACCGUAAACCGACACAGGUAGUUGGGGCGAAUAGCCCAAGGCGCACGAGAGAAUCAUGGCCAAGGAACUCGGCAAGAUGACCCUGUAACUUCGGGAGAAGGGGGGCCUCCUCAGUGGCAACACUGAGAGGUUGCAGAGCAAAGGCCCAGGCGACUGUUUACCAAAAACACAGGACUCUGCCAAAUCGAAAGAUGACGCAUAGGGUCUGACACCUGCCCGGUGCUGGAAGGUUAAGGGGGGGGCUUAGGGGGUAACCUCGAAGGUCUGAACUGAAGCCCCAGUAAACGGCGGCCGUAACUAUAACGGUCCUAAGGUAGCGAAAUUCCUUGUCGGGUAAGUUCCGACCUGCACGAAUGGUGUAACGAUCUGGGCACUGUCUCAGCCGGUAGUUUGACUGGGGUGGUCGCCUCCGAAAGGGUAACGGAGGCUUCCCAAGGUUUGCUCAGGCCGGACGGUAAUCGGUCGUGGAGUGCAAUAGCAGAAGCAAGCUUGACAGUGAGGCAAACAGGCCGAUCUGGUACGAAAGUAGGGUAUAGUGAUCCGGUGGUGCUGCAUGGGUGGGCCAUCGCUCAAAGGAUAAAAGGUACGCCGGGGAUAACAGGCUGAUCUCCCCCAAGAGCUCACAUCGACGGGGAGGUUUGGCACCUCGAUGUCGGCUCGUCACAUCCUG
rnacentral:rRNA from 1 species